UACGUAGGAGACGAGCGUUGUCCGGAAUUACUGGGCGUAAAGCGCGUGUAGGCGGAUGAGCAAGUCUGCUGUGAAAGCUCCUGGCUUAACCGGGAGUGGUCGGUGGAAACUGCUCGUCUGGAGGACGGUAGAGGUAGGUAGAAUUCCCGGUGUAGUGGUGAAAUGCGUAGAGAUCGGGAGGAAUACCUGUGGCGAAGGCGGCCUACUCGGGCCGGGACCUGACGCUGAGACGCGAAGGCGUGGGGAGCGAACGGG
rnacentral:rRNA from 1 species